rnacentral:rRNA from 1 species
CUCAGGAUGAACGCUGACAGAAUGCUUAACACAUGCAAGUCUACUUGAUCCUUCGGGUGAAGGUGGCGGACGGGUGAGUAACGCGUAAAGAACUUGCCUUACAGACUGGGACAACAUUUGGAAACGAAUGCUAAUACCGGAUAUUAUGAUUGGGUCGCAUGAUCUGGUUAUGAAAGCUAUAUGCGCUGUGAGAGAGCUUUGCGUCCCAUUAGUUAGUUGGUGAGGUAACGGCUCACCAAGACGAUGAUGGGUAGCCGGCCUGAGAGGGUGAACGGCCACAAGGGGACUGAGACACGGCCCUUACUCCUACGGGAGGCAGCAGUGGGGAAUAUUGGACAAUGGACCAAAAGUCUGAUCCAGCAAAUUCUGUGUGCACGAUGAAGUUUUUCGGAAUGUAAAGUGCUUUCAGUUGGGAAGAAGUCAGUGACGGUACCAACAGAAGAAGCGACGGCUAAAUACGUGCCAGCAGCCGC